rnacentral:rRNA from 1 species
GCCGCGGUAAUACGAAGGGGGCUAGCGUUGCUCGGAAUUACUGGGCGUAAAGGGCGCGUAGGCGGAUCGUUAAGUCAGGGGUGAAAUCCCGGGGCUCAACCUCGGAAUUGCCCUUGAUACUGGCGAUCUUGAGUAUGAGAGAGGUAUGUGGAACUCCGAGUGUAGAGGUGAAAGUCGUAGAUAUUCGGAAGAACACCAGUGGCGAAGGCGACAUACUGGCUCAUUACUGACGCUGAGGCGCGAAAGCGUGGGGAGCAAACAGG